ACCAUCCUUUGGUCUCUAGAGAUGCGCUCGCACGAGACGGGACUUCGGUCCUGAGUAAAGUGGCGCACGGGUGAGUAACACGUGACUUAUCUACCUCCGAGUGGGGAAUAACUGAGGGAAACCUUAGCUAAUACCGCAUAACACUUACGAGUCAAAGCAGCAAUGCGCUUGGAGAGGAGGUCGCGGCAGAUUAGUUAGUUGGCGGGGUAAUGGCCCACCAAGACGAUGAUCUGUAUCCGGCCUGAGAGGGCGCACGGACACACUGGAACUGAAACACGGUCCAGACUCCUACGGGAGGCAGCAGUGGGGAAUUUUGCGCAAUGGGGGAAACCCUGACGCAGCAACGCCGCGUGGAGGAUGAAGUCUCUUGGGACGUAAACUCCUUUCGAUAGGGAAGAUAAUGACGGUACCUAUAGAAGAAGCCCCGGCUAACUUCGUGCCAGCAGCCGCGGUAAUACGAGGGGGGCAAGCGUUGUUCGGAAUUAUUGGGCGUAAAGGGCGCGUAGGCGGUUUGGCAAGUUUGGUGUGAAAUCUUCGGGCUCAACUCGAAGUCUGCAUCGAAAACUGCCGGGCUUGAGUAUGGGAGAGGUGAGUGGAAUUUCCGGUGUAGCGGUGAAAUGCGUAGAUAUCGGAAGGAACACCUGUGGCGA
rnacentral:rRNA from 1 species